GCAUGGACGAAUUCUGUUCCAGCUGGUCUGUGUUGGAUGCAGCCAGACACCAUGCAAAAGCCUCUUCUCAUUUCUGCUUUUUAACUGGAUGAAUGCUUGCCUCAGUUUCAUUCACUGCGCAGAAAUGAGUACAAUG